GGGCCUAUAGCUCAGUUGGUUAGAGCAUCUGACUCAUAAUCAGAGGGUCUGGGGUUCGAGUCCCUGUGGGCCCA
rnacentral:tRNA from 1 species